AGAAAAAGGGACCCUGCCAUCACAAGCUCCAAGACAUUCUUAGAUAGGCUUGAUGCUCAUGAUUCCAACAGAAUAAGCGAACAACAGUCCUGCUUGGCAUGCCCCACUUUCUUCGUCAAGAUACUUCCAGCAUUCUAAAGACCUGUGAGCCAACUGGUCCAGUUGAAGAUGUCUUUAAAAGAAACCAGUGUGGGGAUCCUGAUCGUGUAUGAGGACUGCAGCAAAUGCGUGGUUCUACAAAAUCAAUGACAUAUGUCUUUUGGAGGAACAGUUUAUCGUCAUGGACAUUUCCAAUAUUCCAAAGGCCUUUGAACUCUUUGGACUGAUGGGUCUCAAUAUGGACUACCCGAAGCAUCUAAAAUUCAGGUUUGAAGUACUACAAAAGCUGUUCUUGAACAUUGCAGCUGCUUUCUCCAAAACAGGCUGCUUGGUAAAGAGUAGUACAACAACCUUCCGUAGAACUUGGACUUGGUCCUCAGUUUUGAUGUGCUGUACAUCCA